GAUGAACGCUGGCGGCGUGCCUAAUACAUGCAAGUCGAGCGAACGGACGAGAAGCUUGCUUCUCUGAUGUUAGCGGCGGACGGGUGAGUAACACGUGGAUAACCUACCUAUAAGACUGGGAUAACUUCGGGAAACCGUAGCUAAUACCGGAUAAUAUUUUGAACCGCAUGGUUCAAAAGUGAAAGACGGUCUUGCUGUCACUUAUAGAUGGAUCCGCGCUGCAUUAGCUAGUUGGUAAGGUAACGGCUUACCAAGGCAACGAUGCAUAGCCGACCUGAGAGGGGGUAGCGGCCCACAGGGACCGACAGGCGGCACUGACACCGACGGGAGGCCGAGACACCGACGGGAGGGAGAUGUGGGGAAUACUGCAGGAGCGGCGCCGGCCUGGUGCAGAAGGUCUGCGGGUCGGAUGACGGUCUUAGGGUUGAAGAACAUAUUUAGAAGUAGCUGAGCUCGUGUUGACGGUACCUGCAGAGAAAGCAACGGCUAACUACGUG
rnacentral:rRNA from 1 species